rnacentral:rRNA from 1 species
CCUACGGGGCGCAGCAGUGGGGGAUAUUGCACAAUGGGGGAAACCCUGAUGCAGCGACGCCGCGUGGGUGAAGAAGCGCCUCGGCGCGUAAAGCCCUGUCAGCAGGGAAGAAAAUGACGGUACCUGAAGAAGAAGCCCCGGCUAACUACGUGCCAGCAGCCGCGGUAAUACGUAGGGGGCAAGCGUUAUCCGGAUUUACUGGGUGUAAAGGGGGCGCAGACGGCGAUGCAAGCCAGGAGUGAAAGCCCGGGGCCCAACCCCGGGAGUGCAUUGGAAACUGUUGAUCUAGAGUGUCGGAGAGGCAA